rnacentral:rRNA from 1 species
CAGUCGCCGCGGGAAUACGGAGGGUGCAAGCGUUAAUCGGAAUUACUGGGCGUAAAGCGCACGCAGGCGGUUUGUUAAGUCAGAUGUGAAAUCCCCGAGCUUAACUUGGGAACUGCAUUUGAAACUGGCAAGCCAGAGUCUUGUAGAGGGGGGUAGAAUUCCAGGUGUAGCGGUGAAAUGCGUAGAGGUCUGGAGGAAUACCGGUGGCGAAGGCGGCCCCCUGGACAAAGACUGACGCUCAGGUGCGAAAGCGUGGGGAGCAAACAGGAUUAGAUACCCCGGUAGUCCCUGUCUCUUAUAA